GAUCAUGGCUCAGGACGAACGCUGGCGGCGUGCUUAACAAAUGCAAGUCGAACGAGGAAUUGUGCUUCGGUACGAUUCCGAGUGGCGGACUGGUGAGUAACACGUGAGUAACCAACCUUAUACAGGGGGAUAACUAAGAGAAAUCUUAGCUAAUACCGCAUAGAACAGGAAAUCCGCAUGGAAGAAGAGUUAAAGGAGAAAUCCGGUAUAAGACGGACUCGCGCAUCAUUAGCUAGUUGGUGAGG
rnacentral:rRNA from 1 species